rnacentral:rRNA from 1 species
AACGUAGGGGGCCAGCGUUGCUCGGAAUUACUGGGCGUAAAGGGUCUGUAGGCGGUGCGGCAAGUCGGAAGUGAAAUCUUAGGGCUUAACCCUGAGGCUGCUCCCGAAACUGCCGUGCUCGAGUGCGAGAGAGGCGAGUGGAAUUGCAGGUGUAGCGGUGAAAUGCGUAGAUAUCUGCAGGAACACCCGAGGCGAAAGCGGCUCGCUGGAUCGCAACUGACGCUGAGAGACGAAAGCUAGGGGAGCAAACAGG